AUGUGAGGAAAAGAGCUGUUGCUGCUACAAUUGAACAGAGAGAUUUGGGGGCUAUUUCAAAUUCAAGGGGAAACAAUUCAAGGAUGGAGAGGUUCGAGGAUGAGCAUGGCCUUGGAAGACUACAGACGGUUGCUAUAGACGAGGACCUUCACCAUUCUAGUGGGGCUGAAGAUGAGAUGUCUAAGUGAUCCUUCGAUGCAAAUGCUGUGAAACUUCUGAAUUUGCCUUUUUGGGUUGGCAGGUGACUAGGUGGAGUUUGUGUAUUCAGAUGCUCGCAAUGAAAAACUGAGUAAUUUACCCAUGCCAUUCAUGCCGGCAGUCGGAAUUUCCUUUUUGCCCCCCAGAUUGUAGUUGGUUUUAGUUUAUACAGAUUUUCUGACAUCAAGAGGGAUAGAGAAAGGAAGCUGUACAAAAGGUUAGACAUUUUCCUCUAAUGUGUUCAAUUUGAUCCAUGUAACAUCAAAAUGCUUUUGUUUACUUUUUCCUCGUUAAAAAUACAAGCGCUUGCUUUGUUAGCUGUUGAUAGGCGUGGGAAAUAGUUAAUAACCUACAUCUGGUUCUUUAAUCAUUCUUUGAUUUUGUAUAUUUCUACAAUUCUUGACCAGUGAAGUUUCUUAGCAAAGGACUCGUCG